rnacentral:rRNA from 1 species
ACGUGCUUGCACUGAAUGAGAUUUUAACACGAAGUGAGUGGCGGACGGGUGAGUAACACGUGGGUAACCUGCCCAGAAGCAGGGGAUAACACCUGGAAACAGAUGCUAAUACCGUAUAACAGAGAAAACCGCCUGGUUUUCUUUUAAAAGAUGGCUCUGCUAUCACUUCUGGAUGGACCCGCGGCGCAUUAGCUAGUUGGUGAGGUAACGGCUCACCAAGGCGAUGAUGCGUAGCCGACCUGAGAGGGUAAUCGGCCACAUUGGGACUGAGACACGGCCCAGACUCCUACGGGAGGCAGCAGUAGGGAAUCUUCCACAAUGGACGCAAGUCUGAUGGAGCAACGCCGCGUGAGUGAAGAAGGGUUUCGGCUCGUAAAGCUCUGUUGUUAAAGAAGAACGUGGGUGAGAGUAACUGUUCACCCAGUGACGGUAUUUAACCAGAAAGCCACGGCUAACUACGUGCCAGCAGCCGCGGUAAUACGUAGGUGGCAAGCGUUAUCCGGAUUUAUUGGGCGUAAAGCGAGCGCAGGCGGUCUUUUAAGUCUAAUGUGAAAGCCUUCGGCUCAACCGAAGAAGUGCAUUGGAAACUGGGAGACUUGAGUGCAGAAGAGGACAGUGGAACUCCAUGUGUAGCGGUGAAAUGCGUAGAUAUAUGGAAGAACACCAGUGGCGAAGGCGGCUGUCUGGUCUGUAACUGACGCUGAGGCUCGAAAGCAUGGGUAGCGAACAGGAUUAGAUACCCUGGUAGUCCAUGCCGUAAACGAUGAUUACUAAGUGUUGGAGGGUUUCCGCCCUUCAGUGCUGCAGCUAACGCAUUAAGUAAUCCGCCUGGGGAGUACGACCGCAAGGUUGAAACUCAAAAGAAUUGACGGGGGCCCGCACAAGCGGUGGAGCAUGUGGUUUAAUUCGAAGCUACGCGAAGAACCUUACCAGGUCUUGACAUCUUCUGCCAACCUAAGAGAUUAGGCGUUCCCUUCGGGGACAGAAUGACAGGUGGUGCAUGGUUGUCGUCAGCUCGUGUCGUGAGAUGUUGGGUUAAGUCCCGCAACGAGCGCAACCCUUAUUACUAGUUGCCAGCAUUCAGUUGGGCACUCUAGUGAGACUGCCGGUGACAAACCGGAGGAAGGUGGGGACGACGUCAAAUCAUCAUGCCCCUUAUGACCUGGGCUACACACGUGCUACAAUGGAUGGUACAACGAGUUGCGAAACCGCGAGGUUUAGCUAAUCUCUUAAAACCAUUCUCAGUUCGGACUGUAGGCUGCAACUCGCCUACACGAAGUCGGAAUCGCUAGUAAUCGCGGAUCAGCAUGCCGCGGUGAAUACGUUCCCGGGCCUUGUACACACCGCCCGUCACACCAUGAGAGUUUGUAACACCCAAAGCCGG